ACAUACGACCAUAGCCUGCGGAAAAUACGGGGUCCCGUCUGCUCCCCCUUAGUCAAGCCGCAGAGCGCUGGAUUA
rfam:Thielaviopsis punctulata NODE_2322, whole genome shotgun sequence.